CCUACGGGGGGCAGCAGUGGGGAAUAUUGGACAAUGGGGGGAACCCUGAUCCAGCCAUGCCGCGUGUGUGAAGAAGGCCCUCGGGUUGUAAAGCACUUUCAGUGAGGAAGAACGCCUGGUGGUUAAUACCCAUCAGGAAAGACAUCACUCACAGAAGAAGCACCGGCUAACUCCGUGCCAGCAGCCGCGGUAAUACGGAGGGUGCGAGCGUUAAUCGGAAUUACUGGGCGUAAAGCGCGCGUAGGUGGCUUGAUAAGCCGGUUGUGAAAGCCCCGGGCUCAACCUGGGAACGGCAUCCGGAACUGUCAAGCUAGAGUGCAGGAGAGGAAGGUAGAAUUCCCGGUGUAGCGGUGAAAUGCGUAGAGAUCGGGAGGAAAUACCAGUGGCGAAGGCGGCCUUCUGGACUGACACUGACACUGAGGUGCGAAAGCGUGGGUAGCAAACAGGAUUAGAUACCCUGGUAGUC
rnacentral:rRNA from 1 species